AUUAUUAAUAGCAUUAUGUUAUUUUCUUAGUUAUUAUUUUUAAAUUAUUAAGUAGUCACAACAUGUUGCAUACCCUUUUGGUUUGUUUUAUUAUCUUUCAUCACCGGUUACAAAAAAUUAAUUUUAACAAUAUGAAGUCAGAAAUCAUCAUAAAAAACCACUAAAUGAAGUUAGGCACGGUAUGUAUGAUAUCGGAAAUAAUUAAAAUGGAAUCAAAAUGGUGACUCAAUUUAUUAACACUAUGCGCCUAGGAUAGUAUUUAUAGUUCAGAGGUCCUAACUUAUAAUCAUUAAUUCUAGACGUAGGCCAAAUGAAAAAUUAUUAAAACUUAGUAGAAAAGAUAUGAGGGCAAAUGGAAUAGAUCUUGGAGAUUAAUAAUCGAAAUUAUUACCAAUGGUUGUAAUACUGGCUGGAUCUAAGAGUAGCUUACUACACGAAAAGAAAGAAGAAGCUUAGUUUAACAUUAAAAAACAUU